rnacentral:lncRNA from 1 species
GGGCCAGUAAUCAUGGGAUCUUGAUUCGGGUUCAACUCUUAAUCCAAUCAAAAUUUUUAAUUAUCAUAUAGGUACAACUCUUAACCUAAUGUUAAUUAAGUCAAUUGUAUGUCACCUAUUGACUUAAGUUAAUCAACUCUUAAACAAAUCAUAAUUCAAGUAGGUUUGUAAAGAUUUAGUCAAUUAUGACUCAAAUCCUAAUC